GUAUAAAUAAUCGAGAGUGCUAAUGCAACAUUAGGCAGUGAGGCAGCAAUGAAAUCAGAGAGGUUGACUUCAAACCCAUUAAAAGCAAGUUCUUCCAAAUUAAGAAAUUUUGACGACAUAUUAAGUGAUUUUUACUCUGCAGUUUAAUAACCACGUUGCAACCUAUGAAUGAAUCCUUUUAGACACUUGAAGAUUCAUUCCUGACUAUAAUACACAAAACCUUCUUCCGUACAAGUCUGUAGCUCAGCAAGAUUAUGGAGUAACAUGAGUUUAUUAGCUAUGAAAUUAGGUCAUGGUGAGAUAGCAGCACUUGUUUGAUUGCAACUGAUUCGUUGAUGUGUUUUAAGAAUGGAUGUGAGUCAUGUGGUUUGAUUUUUAAUUUUUUUUUUGCAGAGCAGCUGAUUUGGUUCAUGAGAUAACAUUAUGUUUCUUAGAAAAACUGAUGUUGACAUGGCUUAUUACUUCGUGCCGAUAAGAGUCGAAGAUCUUCAUUGAUUUUUUAUUUUAUUUCAUGCAGCUUCGGUGAAAUGACAGUGUUUGCCCCACCUUUUUUUUUUUUUUUUUUUUUUAAAUUUCUGUGCAGCUGAUUUUCGUUUCGCAUUUAACUUUGUGAAUAAUUGCGACCACAGUGCUUGUCUCUUUAAGAGUCAGUCUUCUGGUGGCUUCUUGAUAUUAAUAGAGCCGCUGUGUCUUCCUCCUCUGACGUAAUGCCCACAGCCGACAGAGAGACAGGCAGAGAGGUCCUGUCACAGCAAAGCGGUAACACUAGUCUGAAAAACAACAACAACAACAACAACAAAAACAACAACAACAUCAGAUAACGAGCUGCUUUGGUCAGCAAAUCCGGGCUGCGGGCUGCUGAAUAACACACUAUAAGAUCGGGAAUCAUUGCAACACCACCAGAGACCAAAGAAAAAGAGACAGCCAAGACACAAGUCAUCCCCCGUCCGACAUCAUCAACAAACAAAAACCCCUCAAAGAGACGAAGCAGCCAAGCCAAGCCAAGCCAAGCCAGCCAGCCAGCCAGCCACCAUCUUAACAGGCUGCUGAGAGAGAGACACAGAGACAGACUGAGAGAGAGAGGAGAGAGAGAGAGAGAGAGAGAGAGAGCAAAGGGGGCUAAUGCUUAUUUUGAUCAACAGGUAAGCAGCAACCCAAAAAAAAAAAAAAAAAAAAAAAAACAGACACACAACAGCAACACAACCCUGUCUACUAAUUCGGGGGUGCAGUGGCGCAUCAAGGUAAACGAUAACAACAACAACAACAAAAACAACAACAACCAACCCCCCAAAAAAUGCUUCGGCGAUGCACGGUUUUGCAGGAGUAGACGGGGAAAUGCAUGCUCUCUGACAAGUGUGUGUGUGUGUGUGUG
rnacentral:lncRNA from 1 species